rnacentral:lncRNA from 1 species
AGCUAGCAAAUGCAACUAGCUAGUUUAGCCUACUCAACAUCCUGUUCAAACAGAGAGAUGCUGUGUUAGUUAGCUGGCUAUGUUGAUCCAACAAAACACUGGAACUCUUCCAAGUCAAGGACCUGAGCCCUAGGACCAUGCCUCAGGACUACCUGGCUUGAUGACUCCUUGCUGUCCCCAGCUCACCUGGCCGUGCUGCUGCUCCAGUUCUAACUGUUCUGCCUGCAGCUAUGGAACCCUGACCUGUUCACCGGACGUGCUACCUGUCCCAGACCUGUUGUCCCAGACCUGCUGGAACCCUGACCUAUUCACCGGACAUGCUACCUGUCCCAGACCUGCUGUUUUCAACUCUCUAGAGACAGCAGGAGCGGUAGAGAUACUCUCAAAGGUCGGCUAUGAAAAAGCCAACUGACACUUACUCUUGUGUUGCUGACUUGUUGCACCCUCGACAACUACUAUGAUUAUUAUUAUUUGACAAUGCUGGUCAUUUAUGAACAUUUGAACAUCUAGGCCAUGUGCUGUUAUAAUCUCCACCCGGCACAGCCAGAAGAGGACUGGCCACCCCUCAUAGCCUGGUUCCUCUCUAGGUUUCUUCCUAGGUUUUGGCCUUUCUAGGGAGUUUUUCCUAGCCACCGUGCUUCUACACCUGCAUUGCUUGCUGUUUGGGGUUUUAGGCUGGGUUUCUGUACAGCACUUUGAGAUAUCAGCUGAUGUAAGAAGGGCUAUAUAAAU